UGACAGAUUAAACAACCAAUAACUGGCACAGUCUGAUUUCACAUCAGCCAAUCAGGUUGAUUGUCCUGCCCCUUUAACUGCAGCGUUGAGAUUUAGCUCAGAUUGCGUGUAAGAACUCCCUUGAGAGCUGAGAGCUGACGGUUGUUCCGUAAAUUGCCUGUAAGAUUGUGUUAAAUUCUACGAAGAAUCCUGGAAAUUGAUCUCAGAAAGCUUCUGUUCUAACAGCUGACGUCCGGAAAAAAUCCCCUGUAGUUGUGUAGCAUUGAAGCAUAGGUGAGUAAUCGCACGCGCUCAGCCGUUGGCCCAGUAAAUUCGCUAAAAAUUGGCUAAAAUACC